AGGAAAGCCUGCAGGAGGCGCUGAGAAGACGAAACAAGUGAAUGGAUGAAGACUGGGGGAAGAAAAGGUGACAUCAUAACAUCCAAGAUUUAUGGUCUCUUCGGUUCCGUUGGAGAAGUAACAAGAAGAAGAGGAACAUGUGACCAGGAAGUCUGAAGUCUGAAGCAGCAAACAAAAAAUGACUGUGAGGGAAGGGGGACAGAGUAAAUAAAAAGGAGCUACUGGGUCUGAAGGAAGGGCCUUUGAUGGGAAGAGUUUGUGAGGUAGAGAGAUGGGAAGAAGGAAACUUUUGCUUUGAACUUUUUGUCUGUGAUAAUCUGACCUAGUGUCAUUUUUGGAGAGCUUAUUCAGCUCAACUUUGCUACAACUCGGUUUAUUGCCAAAGAGUUGUUUCACUUUUUAACCCGCUUUGUCAGAGUUUCGUUUGGAUUAUUAUUCUUUUUUCAUCUGUGUGAAAUAAAACCUAGUUCAUCGGAUUUGAGGAACGAAAAAAGGAUUUACGAGUGGGGUCUCCUCCUGUCGGGAACCGAGCAAAGGCUACAGGUAAAGUCAGUUGUCUCCUCAGCAUAAAAGGAACAGCUGGCAAGGGUCUUAACCUGAAGUGUACAUUCAUGGACUGGGGGUGUGUGUAGGUAUGGUUGCGCCUCUUUUGUGUCUGCUUAAACAAAUUUGGUCAGAAUUAGAAGCCCUGGGUAAGUUGGUGAUUGCUAGUCAACUCUCUACAAAGUAAGGGUGUUUGUCGGUAACUAGAUGCCACGCUCACUACACCGAUUACAAGCCAAACCCUGAGAUAUUAAUAACAUCUAGAAGAGUGGAGCUAGCCCGGUAAAUUGGCUUGUAACAGUUUCCCUCCUUUACUGCCAGAUCGAUGGCCUUCAACUUAAAUGCGGCAACAUAUGAACUCAUACGUGUAGUUUCCAUGAUGAGGGGGUAUGGAUUUGAAAAAAAAAUCUUCGUCGUGCCGGCUGCUUGCAUGUGCUAACUUAAAAUGAGCACUUUCUUUGAUUUCCACUUUUGACUCCCAAAGCCGCACCUCAUUAUAAGCCACAUGGUUCAAAGCAUGGGAAAAAAGUAGCAGCUUAUAGUCCGGAUAAUAUGGUAGUCUAUGAAAGGCAUAAAAAGUCACUACAGAGUCGACUAGUCGACAACUAUUUUAGGUUUUGUGUGAAAAGACUUCUACAACUAAAUGCGCAAAACCAUAAUGGUGUCAUCAAACCAAACACUGAGAAGAGAAUGGCUGUGACAUAGUCCAAACUCACAUCAUUACUUUUCAUUCUAAUUGAAGUACAACAUAUGUGUGAUUCAGGGCAUAAGGCUAAGUAAGUUAGAAAUUUGCUCUUUUAGCCCUAUUUACUUUUGCUUUCAUUUUAUCGUUGUUCUGGGGUCACAUGAGCGGAAAGGGAGGAGACAAAGGCUCCCUGUCGUCGUAAAGCAGGUAGAGACCUCCCACUAGUGUUCCUACACAAACCAUAAAACUGUUGAGUGCAGUUUUUAGUCAGCAGGGGGCAGUAGAGUGCUGUUUGAUGGUAAGCUGCUUGAGUUUUUGUCUCAAGGACCACUAAAACCAAUUUGAAAGCAAUAGCUUAAAGUUUAGUGUUGCUUUUACAGAAACAGCUUGUGUAGAACACGAAUACCUUCAGGGCGGAUCCAGAGAGAAAAACAAAGGAACCAAGGGCCAAAUUAGCAGGGAGGGCCAAUGACAUAUAAUGAUCAUGCAUCUGAGCCAAACCUCCUCUCUGCAAAUAUUACAUAAAUAUACAUUCAUUGUUUUCUAUUAUUCUGCAUGGAAUGCUUCUUAUUUUCUCAUGAAAACAAUGAAAUCUGCCUGACAAACAUUUUUACUUUAGAAAACAGGCCUGAACCUUUCCGGUGGACCAGCCAGCACUGAAGAACUCCACAAGCAACGGCGUAACCGGUCUCCAACAAAAACCUGAAGUGGGUCAGGAGAUAUUUAGGGACAAGAGUGCUCGGGGACGUGAAGAAGGAAAGGAUUCGGAGGGAUUUAAAGAGCUGUUUGUUUCAUCACCGUUUGUUGCCAUAGCCAGGCCUGGAUUAUGGUGCUCGGCUCGCAUUUUCUUAUCACCGCUCUCAGAUUUAGAAGGAGGAUGUUUCCUGUUGCAGCUGGGCCAAGAGGGCAAAGCGCUGUAAAACACAAGAUACAUUAGAGAUAGUCGUCUUACUACAAAUGACUCUGAUAAUGAGCUCCCAUGAUAGUUAUCGAUCCCAAGCUUUGUUCUGUUAUCUAAAACCAAACAUCUCACUCGUUUCUGCUGUCCGAGCCUUUCAACCCUGUCGUCAUGAUGCUCUGAUUCUGUUUUAUAGAAGCUUUUCUAGACCUUUAUGAUUGAAUCGUUCAUGUUUCUGUGUUCAUGGUUCAUUUUGCUGGAGCAUAACUGACCCAUCACACUGGAGGAAGCUCUGGUUAGUGUUAGGAACCAGAGAUGAGGAAUUGUGGCAUCAACAAGUCAUCUCCGUGCCGUGUUGUCCUUCAGCUCGGCAACUAAACCAGGUGAUCUCAAUCUGCACGGUGAAUGAGUUGCUGGGCAGAACAAAAACUAGUGUUUUCUAAAAUAUUGCUAUUAAAACAUUGAGAAGCGGGUGAGUGUGUUUAUCAUUAUUAGCUGUUAAAACUCAGCCAAUAAUAAAAAAUGUAAAAC